UACAGAGGUCUCAAGCGUUGUUCGGAUUCAUUGGGCGUAAAGGGUGCGUAGGUGGCGCGCUAAGUCGGGUGUGAAAUCCCGGGGCUUAACCUCGGGACUGCAUUCGAUACUGGCGUGCUUGAGGACUGGAGAGGAGACUGGAAUUUACGGUGUAGCGGUGAAAUGCGUAGAUAUCGUAAGGAAGACCAGUGGCGAAGGCGGGUCUCUGGACAGUUCCUGACGCUGAGGCACGAAGGCCAGGGGAGCAAACGGG
rnacentral:rRNA from 1 species